CUCUUCUUCUUGAGUUCAGAAAGCUCCUUUUGAUUGGUGAGCAGAACGAAGUGGAUCCUUCAGAGUUCCCAUCCCUGUUUGUGUCUCAGCCUGUGUUAGGAUUCAGGGCUGUCAGUUGUUGUCACUGAGGAGUCAAACUGUGCUUUAAAUAAGGAGACCCUGGCCUGAUGGCCCAGUGUCAAGGCAAAAGGGGGAAUGAUAUCUGAGUGUUAAGAUGUAACAAGGGCUAAUCCUUUUUGCAGUGGGAUGUAGCCUGGAAACUGCACAGAGCUGAGCCAAGGGAUGUAAAGGGACCAACCAAGGGAGGUGAAGAAAGAAAGGAAGUGAGGCAGCAGCCAAGCAGCACCAAGUUCCUGUGUAAGCAGUGGGAUGUUCCCUAGAAACUGCAUGGAGCUGAGCCAAGGAACUUAAAGGGACUGAGCAAGCAAAGUCAA